ACUCCUACGGGAGGCAGCAGUGGGGAAUAUUGGACAAUGGGGGCAACCCUGAUCCAGCCAUGCCGCGUGUGUGAAGAAGGCUUUCGGGUUGUAAAGCACUUUCAGUGAGGAGGAAGGCCUUAAGGUUAAUACCCUUGAGGAUUGACGUCACUCACAGAAGAAGCACCGGCUAACUCCGUGCCAGCAGCCGCGGUAAU
rnacentral:rRNA from 1 species